AGGAGCUGUGUUUUUGAGCAGGAGAGAGAGGGUGGGCUCUUGUGCACAAGGAAAGGUCUUGCUUUGGAGAGGAGCCUGGCUGCUUACCAAUAGCGACAAGAAGGAAGGCUGAGCAAACGGAAAGAUGACCAAGUUCCAGGAAGGUGAAGUUAUCUGGCCAGGAGAUCCAGAGUCACACCUCGAGUGGACUGCGUGGGGCUGCAUUCAGCGAGUGCACUAGUUCAACUCUAAGCCUCAAUUUUGGAAAAUGGAGUCAUAAUACCUAUCUCAUAGGAUUGUCUGAAGUCCAUGGAGUAUGCUGCGCAGUAGUAAUAGUGCUCGUUGGGAUGGCAUAGGAAUAGCAGGAGAAGAGCAGAAGAUUGCAGCGCUAAUGGUCGUUCUUGAAGUAGAGGUGGUGUGAUUUUGCGGCCUUGUGGCUGUUGUCAAUGUUGCAGUUGCUGCUGACAUCGUUGCGACAACAGUAGCUGCUGUGGUGGUAGAAUUUGGGCAGAACUCAGGCUAGAUUCCCUACUGAGGACUUCUUUCAUUUUACCUAUCUUACUAAAGUUCCCAAUUCGUUACUUUGUGCCCCAAGAAAAGGCAGAAUUCUGUCUGAGAUACAUACCCAUGUGUGCUUCUAUGAGGAUAUUAAUCCUCAUUUUUUCCUCUGAUACAGAAGAGCACAAAGUGACACCUACUUGUAGUUCAAUCACAACCUCUGUUGUCAGUUGCCCCUGACCCCAGGGAAACCCAAAUGUUUGUUUGGAGCUAUAGGAGUGGCCAUGUUUAAAGAAUGAAGUAAAAAUGAUGUUUCUGACACUAAUCUUUUUGAUUUGCUUUCUUGACAAAGUGAGUUUCUUU
rnacentral:lncRNA from 1 species